UCCUUAGAUGUCCUGGGCCGCACGCGCGCUACACUGAUGCAUUCAACGAGUUUACCUUGGCCGAGAGGCCUGGGCAAUCUUUUAAACCUGCAUCGUGAUAGGGAUAGAUUAUUGCAAUUAUUAAUCUUGAACGAGGAAUUCCUAGUAAACGCAGAUCAUCAAUCUGCAUUGAUUACGUCCCUGCCCUUUGUACACACCGCCCGUCGCACCUACCGAUUGAAUGGUCCGGUGAAGCCUCGGGAUUGUGGCCAGCUCGCUUUAUUGGGAGUUGGUCGCGAGAACUUGUCUAAACCUUAUCAUUUAGAGGAAGGUGAAGUCGUAACA
rnacentral:rRNA from 1 species